UAUAGUUGAUGACAAUCAUAUUUGCUACUCUUGACUCGAAAGGGGUUGAUGAUUAUACCACCAAGAUCUCUGAAAAA
rfam:Tetrahymena thermophila SB210 genomic scaffold scf_8254666, whole genome shotgun sequence.